rnacentral:misc_RNA from 1 species
GAAAUGCGAUAAUUAAUGUGAAUUGCAGAAUUCAGUGAAUCAUCGAGUCUUUGAACGCACAUUGCGCCCCCUGGUAUUCCGGGGGGCAUGCCUGUCCGAGCGUCAUUGCUGCCCUCAAGCACGGCUUGUGUGUUGGGCUUCCGUCCCUGGCAACGGGGACGGGCCCAAAAGGCAGUGGCGGCACCAUGUCUGGUCCUCGAGCGUAUGGGGCUUUGUCACCCGCUCCCGUAGGUCCAGCUGGCAGCUAGCCUCGCAACCAAUCUUUUUAACCAGGUUGACCUCGGAUCAGGGAGGGAUACCCGCUGAACUUAAGC